rnacentral:rRNA from 1 species
AAUUAACGCUGGCGGCAUGCGUAACACAUGCAAGUCGUGCGAGAAACCCCGGUUCGCCGGGGGAGUACAGCGGCGCACGGGUGAGUAACGCGUGGGUAAUCUGCCCCGGUCUGGGGGAUAACUCACCGAAAGGUGGGCUAAUACCGCAUCAUCCGUCGGGUCUUCGGGCCCGCCGGGAAAGGUGGCCUCUUCGUGAAAGCUACCGGACUGGGAUGAGCGCGCGUCCUAUCAGCUUGUUGGUAGGGUAACGGCCUACCAAGGCAACGACGGGUAGCUGGUCUGAGAGGACGGCCAGCCACACUGGAACUGACACACGGUCCAGACUCCUACGGGAGGCAGCAGUGAGGAAUAUUGCGCAAUGGGGGCAACCCUGACGCAGCGAUGCCGCGUGGGUGAAGAAGGCCUUCGGGUCGUAAAGCCCUGUCAGGCGGGAAGAACGGCUCCGGGACGAACAAUUCCGGGGAUUGACGGUACCGCCGAAGGAAGCACCGGCUAACUCCGUGCCAGCAGCCGCCGUAAAAC